GACGAACCGAGCGAACGUUGUUCGGAAUCACUGGGCUUAAAGGGCGCGUAGGCGGACUGCCGCGUCCGGGGUGAAAUCCCACGGCUCAACCGUGGAACGGCCCCGGAUACGGGCGGUCUCGAGGGAGGUAGGGGCAUGCGGAACUACGGGUGGAGCGGUGAAAUGCGUUGAUAUCCGUGGGAACUCCGGUGGCGAAGGCGGCGUGCUGGACCUCACCUGACGCUGAGGCGCGAAAGCGUGGGGAGCGAUCCGG
rnacentral:rRNA from 1 species